rnacentral:tRNA from 1 species
GAGGGUAUAGCUCAGUGGUAGAGUGCAUGCCUAGCAUGCAUGAGGCCCUGGGUUCAAUCCCCAGUACUUCCA